rnacentral:piRNA from 1 species
UGGUUUGACGAUUGCUCUUUGAGUCUC